rnacentral:tRNA from 1 species
GCGCGUGUAGCUCAGCGGAAGAGCACCCCGCCGACACCGGGGAGGUUCCCAGGUUCGAUCCGUGGCAUGCGCA